AUGCAGUCGACGAACUCUGGUAUUGAUUGGUGCUUGCAUCAUGAUUUACAUUUGAGUGAGUGGCGAACUGGUGAGUAACACGUGGGAAACCUGCCCAGAAGCGGGGGAUAACACCUGGAAACAGAUGCUAAUACCGCAUAACAACUUGGACCGCAUGGUCCGAGUUUGAAAGAUGGCUUCGGCUAUCACUUUUGGAUGGUCCCGCGGCGUAUUAGCUAGAUGGUGGGGUAACGGCUCACCAUGGCAAUGAUACGUAGCCGACCUGAGAGGGUAAUCGGCCACAUUGGGACUGAGACACGGCCCAAACUCCUACGGGAGGCAGCAGUAGGGAAUCUUCCACAAUGGACGAAAGUCUGAUGGAGCAACGCCGCGUGAGUGAAGAAGGGUUUCGGCUCGUAAAACUCUGUUGUUAAAGAAGAACAUAUCUGAGAGUAACUGUUCAGGUAUUGACGGUAUUUAACCAGAAAGCCACGGCUAACUACGUGCCAGCAGCCGCGGUAAUACGUAGGUGGCAAGCGUUGUCCGGAUUUAUUGGGCGUAAAGCGAGCGCAGGCGGUUUUUUAAGUCUGAUGUGAAAGCCUUCGGCUCAACCGAAGAAGUGCAUCGGAAACUGGGAAACUUGAGUGCAGAAGAGGACAGUGGAACUCCAUGUGUAGCGGUGAAAUGCGUAGAUAUAUGGAAGAACACCAGUGGCGAAGGCGGCUGUCUGGUCUGUAACUGACGCUGAGGCUCGAAAGUAUGGGUAGCAAACAGGAUUAGAUACCCUGGUAGUCCAUACCGUAAACGAUGAAUGCUAAGUGUUGGAGGGUUUCCGCCCUUCAGUGCUGCAG
rnacentral:rRNA from 1 species